CUCCGGGGAUAACAGGCUGAUACCGCCCAAGAGUUCAUAUCGACGGCGGUGUUUGGCACCUCGAUGUCGGCUCAUCACAUCCUGGGGCUGAAGCAGGUCCCAAGGGUAUGGCUGUUCGCCAUUUAAAGUGGUACGCGAGCUGGGUUUAGAACGUCGUGAGACAGUUCGGUCCCUAUCUGCCGUGGGCGUAGGAAAAUUGAGAGGAGCUGCUCCUAGUACGAGAGGACCGGAGUGGACGAACCUCUGGUGCACCGGUUGUCACGCCAGUGGCAUGGCCGGGUAGCUAAGUUCGGACGGGAUAACCGCUGAAAGCAUCUAAGCGGGAAGCCUCCCUCAAGAUGAGUUUUCCCAUGAAGCCCGUUGAAGACUACGACGUUGAUAGGCAAGGUGUGGAAGCGCAGUAAUGCGUGAAGCUAACUUGUACUAAUUGGCUGAUUGUCUUGACCAUA
rnacentral:rRNA from 1 species